AUCACGCCUUCUACGUGCGGCGCCCUGCGGCCUGGCCUGGCACCUUCGCGGACUCCUCGGACACGGAGCACUACUCAGAGAGCCCCAUGGCCCCUGCCCAGCCCUAUGAGCCCAGCGCCUACAUCCUGCCGCCCGCCCCGGCCCACAUCCUGGUGCAGGCCAGCAAGAGCCCCGGCUUUCCCACCAUCACGGUGGUGAAGACCUACCCGGAGAGCCCGGAGCUGCUGAGCGACCCCCUCCCUUCCCCCACAGCCUGUCCCAGUCUCAGAGACUUGUCCCCCCAAAGGCCUCCCUGGCCCGGCCCCUCCGGAGCCCAGCCUGCCCCAUGCAGAGCCCCCAAGGCCCUGCGGACUGCCCUUCCUGUCUACAGUGGCCCCUAUGCCACAGUGACAGCCACGGCCUCCGUGACGGUGGCCCUGCACCCCGCCUUGCCCGGCUCCUUCCAGGGCUACACCCAUGAGGGCUAUGAGGACAGCGAGUCAGAGUGCCCGGAAGAGCCCGGCCCCCCGGCCAGCUUCCAGCUCCAGCGCCCGGACCGGGCAGAGGCCUCCCCCGGGCCCUAGGUUGCUGGGCGACACACCGUGGCUCCGAGCUGGCGCUGGCUUUGUGUCUGCAUCCAGAGCCCGGGCCCAAGCACCGGGCAGAGCGCGCCCCGUGGAGAAGAGACACCACCAGCUGACCAUGGAGCUGGACCGAGCGUGGGCAGUGCCCUGGGGUGGGGCGGGGCUGCCCCCUUCCCUGCAUUGUGCUGCUAUUUCCCAAUGUUAAUUAUUAUUAUUUUAUUGUGAGGGCAGAGAGGCCGUCCCCAGCAGGAGACAGGGGAAGGGAUGAGGCACAUGUGGGCUCUUGCGUGAAGUUACUAUGCAAGGUGUGUGGGGCUGGGCGCUGCUGGUGAAAUCGCCAAGGGGUGGGGCUGCCACGAUGUCCGUCCCCUGCCCCCUGCUGUGCCCCCCACCUUCCCUGUGCCCCCUGCUGUGCCCCCCCAGCCUACCGCGAGGCAGAGGCUGGGUCCAUCCUCAUCUGGCCCGUGGGGCUCCCUGGGCUCACACGAGAGUCUCCCCAGUGUCCCAUCUCCGCCCAUUCUGGGCCCCAGGGCUAGGCGUGACAGUAUCAGUGGAAAAGGGAAGCUCGCUCUCUCUCUAAUGCUGGAGGGUGAUAUUUAUUUCCAAGAAAAUCUUAUUUCUCUACCUAGCCCGACUCCUGGUCCCGGCAGGGCCUAGAUCCCUCACAAACCUCAAGGCAGUGCAGUCUAGCAGUUAGAGCACUGGCUCGGGGGGGCGGGGGGGGGGGAAGUUGGGCAGGAGGAGAUCUGGAUGAAGCACUCCGCUCCCUGCCUCAGUUUCCCCAUGGAGACAGUGCCCCCCCACCCCCCCGGCCUCCUUCGCAAAGAGCUGUGAGACCGAAAUGUGAGGGGCGGGGUUGUCAGCAGGGUGGCAGAGGGAGGAGGGUCCCUCCUCUGUAUUUGAUGAAUGGCAGGGAGCCGGCAGGAAGUGGGGCAGAAAAAGGGAGGAAUGUGGGGCAAAGUGGAGGGGAAUGUACCCCUCCAUAAGUCUCACUUCUGUCCCCGGUGUGGCCAUGGCUUGUGGCCCAUGGAUGGAAACUGAGGGGUGGAUUCCAAGCAGCCCCCCCCCCCCCCCCAAGCAAUCACACGGUUCCCGCUACCCUCAGCUGAGUGCACGGCAGCCCCACCUCUGCAGUUACAGCCUUUCAGGGAGUCUUUCAACACCAGAAAUCACCCUGGCCCUGCACCAUGGGCAGGGUUUCUGUUCCCCGCGCUGGGGCUGCUCCCGGGGUUGUGGCGUGGGAUCCCUAGCAGGUUACACUGGGCGCUCGCCUCUCCAUAACCUGGCACUUUAAAUCCCCUCCCUCCGCUGGGCCUCCUUCCCAGCCCCUGCCUGGGGUUUUCCUUGAGUCCCUGGCCCAGGACAACACCGUGGGGCUGGGGGGCCCCAUUCCAGCCAGCAGCUUCUCGGAGAUUGUCCCCACCUAGGCCAGCGAGGUUGGAUGACAAAUGAAUCUCUGGUCAGUGAUGGCGGGGCGGGGGGGCAGCAUGCCAACUGCCCCCACCUGCUGAGUGAAGGCGGGGGAGGCGAGGGGGGGCCCUGAUCCUACCAGGCCCAGGCCAUAUAAGUUAUUUAUAUUAAAAGAAGAAAAAUUUAUUUUUGUAGGUUGUACAGCCCCGUAGCCGUGG
ensembl:lncRNA